rnacentral:rRNA from 1 species
GACGAACGCUGGCGGCGUGCUUAACACAUGCCAGUCGAACGGAGUGGCGAACGGGUGAGUAACACGUGGGUGACCUGCCCUGCACUUCGGGAUAAGCCUGGGAAACUGGGUCUAAUACCGGAUAGUGUGGGAUGGGCCCGCGGCCUAUCUGCUUGUGGGUGGGGUAAUGUCAGACCAAGGCGGCGACGGUUAGCCGGCCUGCGAGGGUGGCCGUCCACAUGGUGACUUGGACACGGCCCAGACGCUUACGGGAGGCAGCAGUGGGGAAUCUUGCCCAGUGGGCGUAAGCCUGAUGCAGCGACGCCGCGUGGGGGAUGACGGCCUUCGGGUUGUAAACGCCUUUAACCGUCGACGCGGUAGAUGAAGAAGAAGCACCGGCUAACUACGUGCCAGCAGCCGCGGUAAGUG